UACCAGGAUCCUCUGCCCCUGGUGCUAGUCAAGGCGUAGCUAAAGGUGCUGGAUUUGGGGCCGUAGAUGCAGGGAAGAAAAGUGGUAGAAGACCCUCGCAAGCAGCCGGUGCCAAGGGAUCUGGAGCGUUACCCACAGGAAAGCCACGGCAAUCCAAAACUACAGGUAAAACAUCUAAGACAGGCAGGAGAGAUUCCAAAAUUGAAGGGGAGACAAGUGAAGGCGGAACUGGCGCUUCUGCAUCUAGUGCUCGUGGAAGCUUACGUAGUAGUAAGUUGGAUAGAUAUGGAAAGAAAGGAAAGCGCUCUUCUUCGCGGUGCAGAGAUGAUGGCCAGUUUGACGAAUUUGUGAGACAUACUGUUCAAUCUUUGUCCGCAGGCGAUAUUGAUGGUUGUGGUUUAGAACGCGAGCUGCGCAAAAUUCUUGAUAUGUUCGUUGAUGAAUGCGGGUUUUGUUUUUGCAAGUGCAAUAUUCCAAAAAGUCGAUUUUAUGCUAUAUGCCAUAAGCUAUACCACCAUGGACUACACACCUUAGACUUUAAAGAAUUGGCUUAUAUGCACAAACGCAUUUACGCCGCAGCGGAAAACAUUCUUCCUGGCUGUCUUUUCAAUAUGAUAAUAAAAGACAUUACUGGCAUCAACUGUGGUAGUGCCGGAACGGUUAACAAACAAAAGUGCUGCAGCUGCAAAAACACAAUGUGCUGCGAUGCGAACGAGGAGAAAUUAAUGCGAAAAGUCAUGCGUCUUGAAAAUGAUAUUGAAAAUGCUAAAAUGUGUCUAAAAAACCUAAAAAGUAUUCCCUCUAAGCUCUCAAUACAGAGAUGCCGCUUGGAUGGAGGUGAUUCUUCUUUAAUAUCCAUCGACAUUGACCGUGUAAAACAUAAUAGGCAUUUCAAAGAACAUUUUCCAAUCGUCUAAAUGAAUGUUAAUAAGCAAAAACAAUGAAAUUGAAAUCCGAGUUUCACUCGUGUGUGUUACAUUAGGAAAUCCUGAAAGCGAAGGUUAACAUAAAAAUUAUUCGCCAUCAUCGUAUAUUCAUGUCGAAGCUAUAAAAAAAUCAAUCGUAUUAUUCUAUUCUGUCAAAAAUGCCAAUUCCAAAAUUAUAAGUUAUAAAUAUAUAUUUAAAAGUAAUUUCAAGAAA